rfam:Ruminococcus albus 8 contig00001, whole genome shotgun sequence.
GCAGGUAUGGCGGAAUUGGCAGACGCGCUAGCUUCAGGUGCUAGUGGGGGCAACCCCGUGGAGGUUCAAGUCCUCUUACCUGCA